GACGAACGCUGGCGGCGUGCUUAACACAUGCAAGUCGAACGGAAAGGCCUCUUUCGGGGGGUACUCGAGUGGCGAACGGGUGAGUAACACGUGAGUAACCUGCCCUUGACUUUGGGAGAACUUCAGGAAACUGGGGCGAAUACCGGAAAGGAGCUCCUGCUGCAUGGUGGGGGUUGGAAAGUUUCGGCGGUUGGGGAUGGACUCGCGGCUUAUCAGCUUGUUGGUGGGGUAGUGGCUUACCAAGGCUUUGACGGGUAGCCGGCCUGAGAGGGUGACCGGCCACAUUGGGACUGAGAAACGGCCCAGACUCCUACGGGGGGCAGCAAUGGGGAAUAUUGCACAAUGGGUGGGAGCCUGAUGCAGCAACGCCGUGUGCGGGGUGACCGCCUUCGGGUUGUAAACCGCUUUCGCUCAUGACGAAGCUUUGUGUGACGGUAAUGGGUAAAGAAGCACCGGCUAACUACGUG
rnacentral:rRNA from 1 species